UCAAGAACACACGGUUUAUGCAAGUCUUGGUGAUUCAGCAGUUCUUCAAUUCAAAGACUCUCGUGUAUCCACAUUGAUAUGGAAAAGGAAUGAAAAUAUUAUCAUAUCAGAUGGUUCUCUCAUUAACAUUAACAUCAACGAAAAAGAACGAUUCAGAAUAAUUGGCAACCAAAGUAUAGGAGAGUACAAUUUGGAAAUUGCAAACAUAACAGAGGAUGAUUUGGGCUUGUACUGGUGUGAAUAUCAGAUUCAAAAUACUGCAGUACAGAGAAAAGUUGUUUUGAAGCUUGCAGAUGCAAAAAGCACAGUUGUAACUGAGGUAUACAGAGAACAAAGCACAGAUAAAGAUGAUGUGUCUACCAAUUAUGUAUCUGUGACAUUCACGAUUUCGACUGCCAAAUCUAC